GAAAAGGCGGGCCCCGUGUCCUCCGCCUAUUGGGAGCCACUGCCCUCUCUCUUCCCUUUGCAUCCUCGUACGCCGUUUGUGCGCGUGGCCUGAUCCGUUUGUUCGUGCCUUCGCUGCUGCUCGUCUCGCUCUUCAUGCACCGCGCCACACACGGCUCCUCUCGUACCUCGUGUGUCCGAAGUGCAGCACUAGCCGACGUGCCAGCGGCGGCAACGCUGGCCAACGCGCGACACAUUUCAGAGACCUACCCGCGACUCGUCUCUCCUUCAGUGACACUACCGGAGUUGCGACCGCCAGCGCCGAUCCUGCGUAGCGGCAAUUCCAACGCAGGCGCGAAGCUGCCGGAAUCCAGCAGAGUCGUAGAAGAGACGCGGUGCGCGAUCCGAAAGGCACCCCGUGAGGUCGAAUUUCCGGUUGCAGAGGAUCGGCCGUGCCUUCCGUUCCCACUAGAGCCCAUCAAGUCUACUUCACCGCCCUUCACUACAAGCAAGCUGGCCAGCAGUGACGAUCCUGCGACGCUGGUUCUGAAGAAGGGCGUGCCCGAGCCGCAGAAGGAGUUUCACCUCUGCCACACCGGCACCGUGGAGUCGCUGCUGUCGCGGCAGCAGUACGUCGAUGUGUACUUUGUUGCCUCUUCCCUUCUCACUAUCCGCAAUGGGGCGGCCAGGGUGGAGGCGGGGGGAGAAAAAUGCCGUCUGCACCUUCUCAGCCACCGCUGCCUCUGCAGCUAUGCCUUGCUGCGGUUCAAGGAGUGCUGCGAGGACGGCACAGCUACUCUGGCACUUUACCGACACUUGCAAGGCGACAGCAGCUUCUCGUCGCGCGGCAUGCCUGAUGAGGUGCUGCAUAGCCGUGUCGUACAAGCACUGCUAGGCGCGCUUGUCAUGCGCGAGCUGUACAGCGAUGCAGCAGUGCUGAUGGCGAGUGUGCCGACUGUGCUGAGCGCUGGAGGCGAUACGCCGUCGAAAGAAUUCGGCGGCAUACCGUCGCUGCCGCUCUUCGCAACACGGCAAGACACCCUAUCGUCUUUGGCGUCCUUUCGCCAGUGCGUGGCGGCGCGGCGUUGGGUGGAGGCCGCGCAGAUCAUCGACAGUAGUACGACCGCACAGAGUUGGGUGCAGGCGACUCCGUUGUGCGCCAUGCUUGCUUUCGUUAGACUCGAGAUGGACGACCCGAAGGCGGCCCGAGGACUGCUGCUGCCCUACCUCGCUUCUCUCCCUGAGCCGCCGCCGUGGGAGGUGCUCUCUACCGCGCCCGUCGAGCACGCGCAGCUCUGGGACAAUUUCAUCUCUCACUAUGUUUUCUCCACGACUCUGCUCGCCAAGGCUUCGUUCAUGUCUGGCAGUGCGUACCUCAACAUAUCUGCGGCUCUGCUGCAGCGUGCACUGAGACUCAGCCCCUCUUACGCGCCGGCACGCCUGUUUGCCGAGUUUGUACUCUCAUUCGAGGCACAGCGGCAGCACGUCGAUGCUGCCAUGUCUGCCAGCGACUACCCAAAGGCGCUGUCGGUGACGGCUGAGAUGCUGCGCAUGCCAGAGGUCACAAGGCUUGUGCACGCCGAGCUCUAUCUGGUGCGCACCCAGGCCCAGUGGAUGCGCGGACAGCCGCUGGAGGUGGUGCACGAAGCCUCGCGGUGCGUGCAGUGUGACCCGCAAUGUGCACUCGCGUUUCGGUUACGGGCCGACGCCUUUGCGAUGAUGAGCAGAGAGGCUGAGGCGGCUGCAGACCUCGCCGUAUCGAAGCAUCUGAACGUGAGGGUCGGCGCUCUCUUUGAUGAGCUGCGGGUGCAGCGUUCGCGCUACAACGCCGCACAGGUGGAAGCAGAGGUAAAGAGGAACUCUGCGCCGGUAUUCAAAUCGUUCCCAUCAGCGUCAGCACCGCUGCGUUCGUCACCGAGGGAGAGCUUCUGCAGCAACACCCGCAGAUCGGGUGCCCGGGAGCGGAAGUUUACCGACGCGGAGCUUCCGCCAUCACUGCGGACGCACUACGACGUCCUGGGCGUCUCCAGCAACGCCUCCGCGGCUGAGAUCCGAAGGCGCUAUCGACGACUCACCCUUCAGCUGCACCCAGACCGACUCGUCGGUGCAGCGGAGAGCGAUCGGCGAGCCGCGCUCGAGGCAUUCCAGCUUCUGGGAAACGCCUACAGCGUUCUCUCCGACACGCAGCUUCGUGCCACCUACGAUGCCGGACUGCCCAGCCUCCAUUGACGAUGUACAGCAGGUGUUCUCACCUGUUCCUUCUCUUUUCGAUAUUGGUGUGGCUCCCAAUCGGCUUCGAAGUCCACUGGUGCGAGCGCUAUGCGCGCGAGUUGUCAAGCAUGGCCGGUGUGGUGUUUCGCCUCCGAGCAAGGCUUGAAGUGGUGCGAAGAGCAAUUGGGAUGAGCGAACGAGGCGCGGAGAGAUGCUUCCCGAUCAACGCCACAGUGCACGUGUGCAACAGGUGGCCCUAUUUCCUCCCGCCGAUCGGUGUGCGCUGAUGAGGCGCAGAUGCCGGAAGCAUGACGAGAGCACCCCCGAGGCUGCACCACCGAGUCCACCAGACUUCCAUGUGGAACGCCUCCACACCACAUUGUGAAAAGUAGCGGCUUGAAGCGACUCAGAGGGCUAUGCAUAGCACACAGAACCGUAGUCCGAGGCCUCAGAAGGCCCUGACCUGAGGGUGGCUGACCCACUCCGUUGAGGUCACCCGACAUGCGGCUGGGCCCCUUCCAUAUCACCCGCACGUCAGAGACGCCAUCGUCUCCUGCUCUCGAGCCGGACCCUGCACGCGGCCCGCCUGGAUCAAGGCAUGCAGUGCAGGUGGGUGCACCUGGCGCCGACCGCGCAACACGUAUGCAAUGAAGAGGCAAGGGAACAAACGAAGUGCCGACUGGAUGUGUCGGCCCGAUCCAAAAAAAAAACAGACGGCUGGCCGUCGAGAACGAUGAUGCAGCCGCAGUACCACAUGGGGUAGGGCGAGCGGUGGUAGCGUGCGUAUACUCCGUGACGUGUUCGCGGGUCAAAUCGACACGCUGAGGAGACAGAAGCGUUGCGGCGAUGUUCUUUUUUUUUUCUUUCGAAUCCGUUUUUUAGCCUUUUCCUUUGGAACUGCAAGUGUAUCUUGUUUUUGUGUGUGCGUGUAUUCACCUGAAGUGCUUAAGUGCUUCACCGCUGCGGCUGCUAUGCCGGUCACGCCCCCUUUCCUUCCCUUUGAUAUGUGGCCAAGACG
rnacentral:misc_RNA from 1 species